GAUGGUGGUAAUGAUGACUGAACUUUUUUCCCCAGCAGAUCGACAGUGUUGACUGCCUGACUUUAAGCCAAAAUUGUCUGAUACACCAAC